rnacentral:miRNA from 1 species
GGAGGCCUCUGGGUUCUGAGCU